GACGAACGCUGGCGGCGUGCUUAACACAUGCAAGUCGAACGGAAAGGCCCUGCUUUUGUUGGGUGCUCGAGUGGCGAACGGGUGAGUAACACGUGAGUAACCUGCCCUUGACUUUGGGAUAACUUCAGGAAACUGGGGCUAAUACCGGAUAGGAGCUCCUGCUGCAUGGUGGGGGUUGGAAAGUUUCGGCGGUUGGGGAUGGACUCGCGGCUUAUCAGCUUGUUGGUGGUGUAGUGGCUUACCAAGGCUUUGACGGGUAGCCGGCCUGAGAGGGUGACCGGCCACAUUGGGACUGAGAUACGGCCCAGACUCAUACGGGAGGCAGCAGUGGGGAAUAUUGCAAAAUGGGCGGAAGCCUGAUGCAGCAACGCCGCGUGCGGGAUGACGGCCUUCGGGUUGUAAACCGCUUUCGCCUGUGACGAAGCGUGAGUGACGGUAAUGGGUAAAGAAGCACCGGCUAACUACGUG
rnacentral:rRNA from 1 species